CCUACGGGAGGCUGCAGUAGGGAAUCUUCCACAAUGGGCGAAAGCCUGAUGGAGCAACGCCGCGUGGGUGAAGAAGGUCUUCGGCUCGUAAAACCCUGUUGUUAGAGAAGAAAGUGCGUGAGAGUAACUGUUCACGUUUCGACGGUAUCUAACCAGAAAGCCACGGCUAACUACGUGCCAGCAGCCGCGGUAAUACGUAGGUGGCAAGCGUUAUCCGGAUUGAUUGGGCGUAAAGGGAACGCAGGCGGUCUUUUAAGUCUGAUGUGAAAGCCUUCGGCUUAACCGGAGUAGUGCAUUGGAAACUGGGAGACUUGAGUGCAGAAGAGGAGUGUGGAACUCCAUGUGUAGCGGUGAAAUGCGUAGAUAUAUGGAAGAACACCAGUGGCGAAAGCGGCUCUCUGGUCUGUAACUGACGCUGAGGUUCGAAAGCGUGGGUAGCAAACAGGAUUAGAUACCCCAGUAGUC
rnacentral:rRNA from 1 species